rnacentral:rRNA from 1 species
GAACGAGCUGAGACCUUCGGGUCUCGAUGCUAGUGGCGCACGGGUGAGUAACGCGUGGGAACGUACCCUUUAGUACGGAAUAACCCAGGGAAACUUGGGCUAAUACCGUAUACGCCCUUCGGGGGAAAGAUUUAUCGCUAAAGGAUCGGCCCGCGUCUGAUUAGGUAGUUGGUGAGGUAACGGCUCACCAAGCCGACGAUCAGUAGCUGGUCUGAGAGGAUGAUCAGCCACACUGGGACUGAGACACGGCCCAGACUCCUACGGGAGGCAGCAGUGGGGAAUAUUGGACAAUGGGCGCAAGCCUGAUCCAGCCAUGCCGCGUGAGUGAUGAAGGCCCUAGGGUUGUAAAGCUCUUUCAGCGGGGAAGAUAAUGACGGUACCCGCAGAAGAAGCCCCGGCUAACUUCGUG